CCCCUUGCAAUAUGAUGACAAAUGUGUUGGUAGGGACAUCUGAAUUGAUGUGAGGAAACGCCAACCAUCCUGACGGCAUGGG